rnacentral:tRNA from 1 species
GUUAAUGUAGCUUAAAAGAUUAAAGCAGGGCACUGAAAAUGCCCAGAUGAACCACUCCGGCUCCAUAAACA